GAGAGGCGGGUUGUUGAUACAAUUUUAAUACAAUUUUAGAACAUUACAUUCAUCACAGUAGUUAAAUGUUGUCCAGAUUCCAUAUUUUCUUUCCCGUUGUCCAUGUGUUCUGUGCUACCUAUAGCACUGGCAACUGUAAGAUGUUAACAAUAUUUUUUGUGAGAACAUGUCUCUAAUAUGUUCAGUGGUGAUGUGUUUCCUAGGUGUCCAAGUAAAUGGGGAAAACAACCCUUUGAGG